rnacentral:lncRNA from 1 species
UUCUUUCUCAGAGACUUUUUAUAAAAAGCAAUGAGCUCAUCCUAUUGUGUGUUUUGCAGGCUAUGUGGCACUCCCAGGGAAGCACUAUUGGUCUUGGAAAGAAUUGGUGCAGUUUUAAGAAGCUACAACUGAAGUGGGAUGUGGAUGGGGACCUCCCAUUAGAUGCAGAGACAAUGAUCGUAACUGCCUUCUUGACUACCAUCCACAGCAGUGAAUCCAGAUCACAGCAAGAAAAGGACUUGGGCUUCUUCCAGCCAAUGAUUUAUUUGUUCCACAGAGAAGUGCUGGGGGAUGUGGCCUUCUCCUGCAACUGAUCUUCUGAAACUUUAACAGCUGUUUUUUAAGGUCUGGUUUCUGUCCCACAGAAAAAAAUAUCAGUGAAUCUUAUUUCUUAGGAUCUACCAGAUCUUACAUGCACAGAAUUAGUAGAGAUAAGUAAACUGAACUCUCCUGUACUUUGCAAGUAGGCUAAAGUAUCCACUGAGUAGCUGCAAUUAAACUUGCAUCAUUCUUACACAAACUACUGAUUUUAUGAGUAAAGAAAUCAGUUGUCCAGUCAUCAAAGUGCUUCCAACAGGGAAAUAGGACACGUUAAAGUACAUCACACCUGGUGUCCACCUAAUCUAAAAUCAUGGCUUCUGUGUUGAUUCUGGGAGAAAGUACAAGAAUUCCACAGUAGACAGCUGAGAGACCAUCUGUCUUGCAGACAAAGUGCCACCUAGCUCUGAGAAAAGUGGCCUGUGUCACCUGCCUGAGACCUAGCAUUCCUUUAAAAAACUUUUGUUAUCGUUAACGGUGAUACUGUUGGAUAUUCUUUAUACAUGUACCAGGGUGUUAUGUGGCACAGGCAAACACAAGUUUAGUUUGAAAAGAUGCAAAAGAAAGAAGUUAUUUUCCUAUGCCAGGUAGUAAGAUUGUUAGUGUUGUGUCCUUUUUUCAACUCUGCUAAAAUAAUAAAUUUGUCAUUUCCCAGGCUUCA